CCUACGGGUGGCUGCAGUGGGGAAUCUUCCGCAAUGGACGAAAGUCUGACGGAGCAACGCCGCGUGAACGAUGACGGCCUUCGGGUUGUAAAGUUCUGUUAUACGGGACGAAUGGCGUAGCGGUCAAUACCCGUUACGAGUGACGGUACCGUAAGAGAAAGCCACGGCUAACUACGUGCCAGCAGCCGCGGUAAUACGUAGGUGGCAAGCGUUGUCCGGAAUUAUUGGGCGUAAAGGGCGCGCAGGCGGCGUCGUAAGUCGGUCUUAAAAGUGCGGGGCUUAACCCCGUGAGGGGACCGAAACUGCGAUGCUAGAGUAUCGGAGAGGAAAGCGGAAUUCCUAGUGUAGCGGUGAAAUGCGUAGAUAUUAGGAGGAACACCAGUGGCGAAAGCGGCUUUCUGGACGACAACUGACGCUGAGGCGCGAAAGCCAGGGGAGCAAACGGGAUUAGAUACCCCGGUAGUC
rnacentral:rRNA from 1 species